UGAAUGUUUAUUUGUAAGUCGCUCUGGAUAAGAGUGUCUGCUAAAUGACUAAAA
rfam:Salmo salar isolate Sally breed double haploid chromosome ssa24, whole genome shotgun sequence.